UGUUCUUGUCCCGCAAGAACUCACCAAUUAAACAAAUUUAUUACCCGAUCUGUGGCUGAAACAGCACCAGAUCCAGGCUACCCAUUUUUGUUAAUUAACUUUCUCUUUAACUAAUCAACCCUGUUUCUAAACCACAUUCCCUCGCACUUUGCUCUGCAUCAGAUUCUUUUCCCCUGCAUUUCUCUUUAGCAUAUCUGAUGUUCAAUGCGUAUGUUUUGAUCUAGAUCCCAAGUAGAAGACUGUGUGUGUGCUGGAGGGAUU